GACGAACGCUGGCGGCGUGCUUAACACAUGCAAGUCGAACGCUGAAGCUCCCAGCUUGCUGGGGGUGGAUGAGUGGCGAACGGGUGAGUAACACGUGAGUAACCUGCCCCUGACUCUGGGAUAAGCGCUGGAAACGGUGUCUAAUACUGGAUAUGACCUAUCACCGCAUGGUGUGUGGGUGGAAAGAUUUAUCGGUUGGGGAUGGACUCGCGGCCUAUCAGCUUGUUGGUGAGGUAAUGGCUCACCAAGGCGACGACGGGUAGCCGGCCUGAGAGGGUGACCGGCCACACUGGGACUGAGACACGGCCCAG
rnacentral:rRNA from 1 species